GAUGAAGAACGCAGCGAAAUGCGAUACGUAAUGUGAAUUGCAGAAUUCAGUGAAUCAUCGAAUCUUUGAACGCAUAUUGCGCUCUCUGGUAUUCCGGAGAGCAUGCUUGUUUGAGUAUCAGUAAACACCUCAACUUCCAUAUCUUUUUUGAAAUGGGAGUUGGACUUGAGUGAUCCCAACGCUUUUCCUCACCGAAAAGUGGCGGGUUACUUGAAAUGCAGGUGCAGCUGGACUUUUCUCUGAGCUAUAAGCAUAUCUAUUUAGUCUGCCUAAAAAACAGAUUAUUACCUUUGCUGCAGCUAACAUAAAGGAGAUUAGUUCUUGUGCUGACUGAUGCAGGAUUCACAAAGACAGCUUCGGCCGACUUUGUAAACCCGAUCUCAAAUCAAGUAAGACUACCCGCUGAACUUAAGCAUAUCAAUAAGCGGAGGA
rnacentral:misc_RNA from 1 species